CUGAACUAAACAAGGCCUUAAGCUUCCGAUUCUGUACGCCUGCACAUGGACUCAUGGAGUGGCUCUCCCAUAUAGAUGCUGGUCUGCCAGCAUAUACACAUACUUAGUAUUAUAAUUUAUAUAUAGUUCUUGUCACCGACCACGCACAUUUUUGGAUGGCCGGCAGCCUUCCAUAGCUAGGUGUAGUAGUUUUAGUUUAUGUAGCUUCUUCAAAGUGCCUCAAUGGCGUUUGUUCCUUGUGAAGUUCGCUGGCCGGGAAGCGCCGUCGCCGCCGUCGUUGUUGCCGUCUUCAUCGGCUUCGUCGUCGUCGCCGAAAUCGCAACCCAGGUAAGCGAGAAUAAAAUAAAAUCGCUCCUUCAUCCCCUCGCCCUCCCCCACCUCGGCUCGGAUCCUCCAUCCUCUUCCACCGCUCCGCCAGAUCCGAGCUCCGACUCGCUUCCACCACAGCUCGCCUCCGCCCCCACCCCUAUCUUGCAGCCAUCAACCCGGUCCAUCCAGGCUCCAUCCCAGCUCUUCAACCGAUGUUGGCCCGUCACCUUCGCCAUCUUCUGGGAUUCUACAGCGAGCUUCAUCCUUAACCUCCGGCGACGGCAACAAUAUUACUCUUCGGUCGUCUGGAAAGUCCUUCUUCAUCGGCUCUGUCGGCUCAACUUCAACCGUCGCAUCGCGCGGUCUCUCCAUCUGGGUGUAUGCGCCUUCGGCGCCCCUGCGGCCCCUCGCCGGCAAACUCAUCGGCGUCACUGUCACCGUUGUUGUUGCUGUUCUUAUCCGGUUAUAGGACCUUGUUGUAAUUCGGUUCUCCACGGAGGACCUACUUGUAAUAUGGCUGCUUAAUAUAUAUAUAUAUAUAUUGCUAUUGUAAAAAAAAACAUGUGGCACGCAAAUAUAAUGCUCGGUUGAUUUGUUUUGUCCGUGUGCAGUGGGGGACCACGCACACCCAUACACUACAAAACAAAGUUACAGAAUCAUCAUAAAGAGAAUUACUGCACUGACAGAGACGUCUGCUACGUAUUCUCUUCAUUUCAAAUUAUAAGACGGUAUUUUGUCUUCUUCAGAACUAUUGCUCUUACUAUUAAGACAUAUGCAUAGCAAAACAUAAUUUGUUACUAUCUUGUAUACAUUUUUUUUAGUAUAUAUAAAUGGUUUGAUUCUCUUCGAUCGACACCAAAGACGAAGCACUUAUAAAAAAAAUGUGAGUAGCUAGACAUGCGUGUCGAUCCUAAUGAAAGUUUGAUGGGGUGUGUUAUUAGUGUCUAGCAUUUUGACCUGAAAUUCUGAAUGAAUAAUUGGCACGGCCAUAUCUUAUAGCAGCAAUGCAGAGAUCGAAAGAAGAUGCUAGAGGCAGCCACUUUUGGUCAGGGUCAGAGCAAAUAGAUGGUUGGCUAACUGCUAUUGGUGUGAUCAGCAGUCAGCUGAUGAAGAAGCCUGAUCGAAGGUGCUGUCUCUCUUGCAUGCGAUAGAGAGUAGGAAUCGAUGAAUUGGAGAAGCAGACAACAUGCAAGUGCAGGGACAACAAGAGAGACAAGACGUCCCUGCAGCUAGCUAUAGCCCACAUCGAUAUAGGGGUGCAAAUAAGUAACGAUUAGGUGCACCUCUAAAUCUCUUUAGUUUAAAUAUUUAUACUAUUUAUCUAAAAAAAUUAAGAAGUAGUAGAAAUAUUUGAACUAAAGAGGUUUAGAAGUGCACCUAAAGGUUACCCUUUUGCACCGCCUGGUCGAUCAUGACGGCGACCACCACUACUGCUCGCCUUGGGGGCUGCUGGAUGAUCGAUAGCCACACCACACCCACACACUUUCGAUUGCAACCGGAAGGUUGAUGCAUGGGUCCAUCUCGUGCACAUGUCAAAAAAGGCUAGCCACAAGAAGAAUGCCAUACAAAUUGCAAGUCAAAUCUUUUCUAACUUUCACUAUCAAUAUCCAUCCAAAAUUUUGUAUAAAUAGAACAAUCAACAAAGCUCUCACCCCAUUGCAAAAAAUUUAAACUAUUCCAUAUUUGUCCCACAAGAGGCUUAAGUUAUGCUGAUGCAAUUCCUGGUUUGUCCUUUGUCAAAGUUAUCCUAAGUUUGAUCGACUUUAAGUUACUAACUGUCAGUCCCUCUAAGUGAUCCGAAACAGGGACAAGAGAAUACAAGACGUCCUUGCAGCCCAUAUUGCUCAAUCCAUGAUGACGACGACUGCCACUACUACUCUAAUUCGGAUGGGUUAUGAACUUAUAUAUGGUAGCCACACUUGCAAUUGCAAGUUGAGCCGUUGAAGGAUCGGUUUCAUGUUAGCAAGUCAAAACCUAUCCCGAAAAGGAAAAUCAUGCAAAUCACAAUGAUGAAUAUAACAUUACUCCCUCUUAUCAUAAAAAUUUGUGUCGUUUAAGAUAAGAUAUUUGGUCAAAACAUAAAUAAAACUCAAAAAGUCGACAAAUUUUGAAUUAUUUAUAGUUUAGAAAAAUAUAAGAUAUAUGUAUAAAUUAUGAAAACUUUUUAAAAUUUGUCAAGUAUUUAUUUGUGUCCGGAGGCAGUAGUUUAUAGUAAGUUAAACAUUUUCAACUUUGACCAUCAGUUUUGAUCCGAAAGCUUAUAUAGGACAAACUAAGACUAGCAUUGCUACAUUCAUAUGAAAACUACUAUUUAUGUUAUGUCAAUGUAAUGUAUUUUCAUUAAUUGGUCAUCAAAGUUAAAAUUUAAAGAUUGAUUUAAACACAAAUGUAAUUACAUCUGUGAUAUUUAAUAAGAGCUCAGUAACUUGUGCUCCUAAUUAAUAUGGGCUCCCUCUCACUCAACACUUGUCAAAGAUCUUUGUUAAGACCUUAAAAAAUAUCUUUGUUCACUAUAUGAUGCAUCAGGGUUUAGUUUGCAUGCAUGCAUCAUGAUCUAACUAGUCGUGAUGGUAGCAGGAAUAAGAUAUAGCUGCCGUACGGCGUUGUGACGCAUUGGGCGGCGAUUUGGGUAGGCUUGGUCAUAUAUAAACCACAUACGUUCACUGCUUUCUCCUUAAUUUUGCCGUCCAUUCGCGUCAUUAAAUCAUCAUCAAAUUAACAAGAUUAUCAUAUGUGCAUGAAUAUAUAAUAUAUGUGAUAAUGCAUGAAUGCAUAUAUAUCAUUGCAUCAUUUCUGACGUAAACGGUCUCAGAUUUCUUUUAUGCAUGAAUGCAUGACGUGCGUACGUGUAGCUAGGGAAAAGAUAGUUCGUUAAUUAAUCAAUCCUUUUUUUUCGAUCCCAGUGGCUUAAUUGUGUCUCCCCUCAUCAUGUAUUCGAUGAUCGAUCAAAGCCCGUGAUUCGUCGUAGUACGAAUGCAUGAAUGGAAAAUUAAGAGUUGUCGUAAGCAUUGAAAAUGCAUGGAUGAAAAAUUUAGUUUACGCACAAGUCGUAUUCCUUUAAUUUGACGGUAUUUGCCGUGGCGCAUUGGGCAUUUUGGUCCAAAUGCUCACUCAUUUUCUUUAUUUGUCUCCCCAAUUUGUUAAUGUUCUCCCUUCGAUUAUCAUCUAGAAAUUAAUUAAGAUUAUUGUGCAUACAUGCGCGCGCAUGGAAAACAAUUAGGAGCCGCGUUUGGACUCUUUCAUUUGGAGAAAAAUUAAAAUCUACUUAACAAAUUAGUCUAUUUGGGUUGUAGUUUGACAUUACAUUCCGAAGUUCACAUAUAGCUUAUCUUAAAUUCAUAGGGUACGAGAUGGAAAUUGAUUCUAUAGAGUAUCAUUCUAUAUUUCUACUUUGCAACUUAUAAUAACACGCUCUUUUAACUCGCUCCACUACGGUAAAAAUACAACAUAUAAGUAUCUCUCUCAUAUAACUAACAAUAAUAUACAAAUAUAAUCCAUAUAUAUAACCAUAUUAGAUUAAUGAAUAUGUGUCUAAAUUAUAAUUAUUAAAUAAAUUCGAUUGCAAGGAUCCAAACAGGACCUAGGAAAAAUAGGGAUGUUUUGUUUCAAGAGUGACCCUAUAUAUUCUCCUUUAUUGUCGAUUGGCACUAGGUUAAUGGUGAUAGAUGUAGCUGCUAACAUGCACAGAACAUACCAGUACUUAACAUCCUUUAGUAUUUGUUGUUGUUCCACUAGACACAUCAUCAUGUGAAUAUUAUAAACUAGACAAACGUUGGUGUAUGCUACUUAUAAUGUUAUAAGAUCUGUGUGUUCUAAUGCGACUAUAUGAUGUUGUGAUGUAUGAUAAAAUUAUUGUAUGGACUAUAUAUUUUAAUAUGUUAUUGUUGCUGUUUGAAAAUAAAUUAUUUUUUUUGCAUUUAUUUUUUCUGUGAGUUCAACUAAACCCACAAAAAAAUACAUAUUUUUUCGUAUGUUUAUUUCUUUUUUCCUAUGUGGAUAUCCAUAUAUAAAAAAUGUUUUUAGUCUAGGUGAACAUAAUUUUUCUGUGUGUGUAAGACCGACAGAAAACUAUUUCUAACGGCACAAAAAACUCAUUUUUCUGGUACACCAUCGAAAAAAUAUUUUUUUGUUGGGAUUUGCAUUUUUUGUGUUUUUUAUACACAAGAGUAUUCGAGUUUUCAACGGUGUUGAUGACUCUUUGAAAAGUAAUCACCUCCAAUCAAGUUUAUAUGACGCUUCACAUGGGCGUAAUCGGUGUAUUUUGAUUAGAGAAAAUUCAUAUAAAAUUGAUUUUGACCCUUAAUUUGUCUUAUAAUAUAAUAUAUUUUAAUCUCAAAGGCAUUUUAAAUACAAAUAUAUUGAUAUGAGUUUUACGUCCUAAACUUGUAUAUAUAAUUUGACUACAUGAAGUCAAUAACCUUCUACGUCAUAUAAAUCUGACUUGAGGGAAUACUACAGUAAAAGUAAUACGCGGAAGUGGUCCAUCGGCUUCGUUUUCUUUUGUUUGUUCAAUCUGAAAAUUAAAUGAAGGAGUGGUAAAAGUUGAAGGAGACGUACUUUUUUUUGAAUGUCGAAGGAGACGUGCUCAGCUUGAGCCAAUAUUAUAGAGGACUUUUGUUUUCGUUUGCUUAGCUUGGUGGAGAUCAAAGACCGAGAUGAUAGAUAGAUAGCAUCACCAAUCCGCCAUUGACUUGCUCACCAUCAUGCAUUCAACCACUAGUUGCUUGGAAUUCUUGCUGUUUGGAUUGGAUUCGGUUGGGGAACAAUCUCAUCGCCAUCUCUCCUGAUGUGCAUACCUAUACAGCUAGCUAGCUAGCAUCGUGACAACGACUUAUGUGUAUUGUCACAUGAUUGCUAGUGGCCGCUAGGAGAAGACUUUGGUACAUAUAUACUGUAUGGAUCAAGAUAGAUAUACAUAUGUAUGCGUGCAUUAAUUGCAUGCACGCUCUCCAUCCAUUGUGGACUUGUGGUGUGGUGCCUUAUUAUGACUUGUGUGUUAAGCUACACUGCACAUGAUAGCAACAUUGCAGAGAAUUGGUAUGAUGAAAGAAAGCCCAUAAUCUUAUGAUGACUUGAUGAGUACUUUAAUUUCUGAGUGAAGUGCACCUUCCCCGAUACAUAACGGCAUCGUAGCCUAUUUGAGAACAACCUUUUUAUCCCAUCCAGAACCAUAGACUUGUGAUUUGUCAUAGGAUAGGUGAAGGGAUUUUUUUGAUGCUAGCCUAAAAAUCGCUCCUGAGUUGAACUCGAAACUCGAGGAGUGCUAACCAAUCUACCUAAUUAACCAACUCAGCUAGAGUCCCUUUUGCUCAUGCACUCAUGCUAUCAGUUAAACAACAAAACCAAUUUCACCAACCAUGCCAUCAGUGAAGGCCGACCAUUUUUUGGAUGAAAAUGUAAGUCAACAAACUUUUAUGGUUGUUUAAUCUAGUAUUGAUCUUAAUACAUUACUAGUUAGAGGGGUCUAUUAGUGGAGCAUCUGCGUUAAUCCUCAUGAGCCAUGUAAGAAAAACUGAUGAAUCAUUAUUGAAGUUAUCACAAAACUACAAAAUUUUACGUUUAUUUUAAUACUCUAAUCAUGUAAUACCCGAUUUUAAGGACAAAACCAGAUAUACAUUAUAUGUGAGUUUUAGAAGCCAAAUCUCACAUAUAGCUACAAAUAAGGUGUAAUAUCAAAAGACAAUGCACAAAUAUAACGUACUUAGUAUAAAAGGGAUAACCUUUGAUAGCAAACAGCGGAUAGACAACUCCAACUUCGGGUAUUAACUUCUCUCUACAGGAUCCAACUGACUGGUUGAUCACAAGCCCAAAACUUCUCCUGAGGUAUGGGAGAAAUUGCAAGAGUGAGUCCAUGUCGAACUCCACAAGUAUAGCAACUAGAUUGUAUAGCUCCCACAAUCUCAUGAUCAAUGUGACAUAAAUAAUGUAGAGCAUUAAAUAAUAAAUAAUGAACAUAUAUAACACACAAGAAUCAUCAUCGUCGAUGCAAGAAUCCCCAAGGCCGCUCUUGACCGUGAGCACGGCUAGUAUACCAGUUUUUAACACUCUGCAGAGGUUGCACAUCUUUACCCAUGAGUCAUGAUUUACCCUUUCGCCCGAGGUGAUCAGCCUCUUAACCCACUUCCAAGGAAGGUCGGCAGGGAUCACUAUGAAGCCUUUCAAAAGUUCGUCUAACAUGUUGGGGCCGCAAGGUUUCCUUUGCGAGCAGAUAUAGAUACCCCCCUUCCGAAUGGCACAAUGACGCGCAGCCUAUACACAUAGGGACAGGGGCUCGCACUAUACCCGUGUCGGUUCAGCCCCUCCGCCCUUUCGGGUAACCUCUAACAAGCUAGAAAAGGUCUUCAUACUGAGCCAAAGCCAGAGCCAUUAUAGCCCUCAUGGUUGCACUGUUGUCCCGGUUAUCACUUACAGAUAAAUCAUCAAGUGGCUAAAAAGUCAUUUUUAUCAUUUAUUACUUAACAUUAAUCUAGUCACACGAUCAUGGUCAUAGAAUAUAAAAUCCAAAUGCUAUACUUGCCUUAAUCCAAUUGCUCUUGUUGUUCUUGCUAGUUGUCCAAAUGCUGAUCUUGAUCACUGAAGCACUCUUGUUCACCACGAAUUGUUCACCAUCUAUUCUCGAUCAUCGAUCAUCAACACACAAACAAUCGAAACCAAACAUACAUGAAGCAAACAAAGCUACAAUUAGAACAGACACCAAACAAUAGCAAAAUAGUAAGAAAUGUUUAUAAAAUGGUUUUACGCGUCACUACGAUCACAAAAACGUGAGAAGCACUCUAAUUGGAGCUACGACGAAAGAGAAAUGACUAUUUUAAAAUUUACAUGCUUCGUUGAUUUCAAUAGUUAUAUAAAAUAUCUAUAAGAUACUUUAGAGAAAUACCUAGAUUAAAUUAAAUUAAAUUAAAUUAAAUUAUAUUUGAAUUAGAAAAUCAAGUUAAAACUAAUAAUAUUUUAUUUAUAAAUGUGGUUGUAUAAAUUAAGCAAAUUAAUCUCUAAUUUUAUAAAAAGAAGUAACGUGUGGAAAUCUAUUGGAAUUGUGUAUGAUCAUGUUCAAGCUAAGUAAUUAAGGUUGAGAAACAUGAUUAUGUUAGUAACUAAUUAUAUUAAUGAUUACCAAAGUUCGACACCUAUAUGGCUUUUAGUUAUAAAACUAUAGUUGUAUGCAUAUUAAUCAAAUUAAUAUUUAAUUAUAAGUAUUCGGCAUGGGAACCUUUGCUUCUAGAUAGAAGAUUACAUUACUAAGCUUACAAACUUAUCAUCCUUGGCACUUGCUAACGUGUAUUAUUGGCAUUCAUGCACGUACGGUGCUAUUCGCUUGAAGGUUUGCAUCUGUUGUAGGAGGAAAAUAAAAGACGAAAAGCAAAGCAGGCGGCUUGCAAGAAACAGCAGGUCAGCUGCAGCUAUGGCCAACUGUCACACAAACACGGUCAGCGGUUCUAUCCACGGCAGAAGGCAUCGUAGGGAGGGAGGAGUAGGCAGCCUAUGACGUAUUGGAGAGAGCUGGCUGCUGGAGGUUGGGUCGUCUAACAACAAGAUCAGGGCAGUGAUAACGCCGAGCUAGAACUAAGAAACGGAAUUACGAAGACAGAAAGUUCCUCACCGGGCAGGGAGGGAUAGAAGGGGUGGAUCGCUGGUGACGGCGAGAGAAAAAAAAAACAACGACGUCGGGUCUUCACGUGGAGAAAAGUAGAUUAGGCUUCCUGUAGCCACGGAAGCGCCGGUUGAUUCCGAGAAGACGAACAAUGGCAACUCGUACCGCACGGCCAUCAACGCCAUAUAUGAGGACUUCUUAUAUGAGGACUUCUCCAGGGUAGUUUUGGUAUGCUUAACUCAAGGAAUUGGUACGUAUAUAUAGGGAGAAAAACUCAUCACCUCCAUGUCAACUAGCGAUAUGGUACUAAUCAAUGUUACACACUUCAUCUUUAUUAGUAGGCCUAGUUAAUUAUUAAAGCCCUCUAGUAAAUAAAUAUAUGGGCCUAUGAGAUCAUGGGUUGAGCGUUGGGGUAAAAUGAAAGAUUUAUUAAUUUCGAAAUUAAUUAUUUUUGUAAAUAAAAUAUUUCUAGAAUUAUUAUUUAAGUCAUGAAAAAUAUUUCGAAAGCUCUGAAAAUUCGAAGAAAAUUCUCAGAGACACUAUGAAACAUGAGACACUCAAAUAAAGUAUUUGAAACUCAUGAUAAGAUUAUUUGGAGCAUCUAAAAAUUAGAUUAUGCUCACAGUCAAAUGGGAACAAGUUCCAGAAAAGUGCUGAAAUAAUUCCUGGUAAGUUUUUAGAGAUUGAUUGAUGGACGAGGAACUAAAAGAAGUGCUUUGAGUGAUAAAAAAAAUAUUUUAGGAAGGUCCUAAUAAAAAUUUGAGCUUAGAAACAAGGAAUUUGGUUGUAGAUAAAAGAUAAAUAUGUGCCGAAUAAGGAAGAUCGAUCUACUAAACGUAUUUUAAAUAUUUUUCUUACUAUCAACACAUAAAGGAGCAACGAGCAUCACAUCAAAACAUAUGCACCAGCAUGUAUGCAUAAUAAUAUUGCUAAGCCUUAUGAUAAUUUUUAAUUUAAUGAAAAAUAUUAUUUUUCCUAUAUUUUCAUGAGCACAAAAAUACAAAUUAAAUAAUUUUAUCUAUAUUUCAAAAGGAGUAAAUUUUAGGGUGUUACAAAUCACCAUUGUCAAUAAGAGACACCUAAUCUAUCUUGUUUUCUGAAAAAAUAUAUACAUAUAUCAUUACAAAACAUGAUUUUAGAAUAACCCCCUAAAUUUAUAUAUAAAGUACAUAUAUCUACUCCUAUGAAAGAUAAUACAAAGUAACACCAAAAUUUAUUUCUUUUGAAUUAACCACAUAUUCCAUUAUGAUAGAUAACACAAUGUGACCCUUUUAAUUUGCAUAUGAAUUACCCAAAUCUACCAUUAUAGACAAUAAACUAACAUAUCCCUCAAAUCCAUAUAUGAAUACCAAAAUAAGCUAUUAGAGUACAAUAUGUAUACUUUGUAAAUUGCAUAUUUGUACCACUAUUAGUUAAAAUGGUAUGUGUCAUGUGGUAGAAGAAAAAAAACUUACAUUAGGAUAAAUAUUGAUUUAAUAGUAUUUUGUUAGUAGUGGAAAAAUAUUGCCUUAACAAACCACAUACCAAUGACACUAACAAUUACUCCCUCCAUCCCAAAUUAUAAGACAUUUUGGCUUUUCUAGUAGAUGCAUAGAUUUUUCUAUACACUUAGAUAUAUACUAUGUCUAGAUACAUAGUAAAAGCAGAGUAUCUAGAAAAGCUAAAACAUAAGAAUGGAGUAACCGUAAAUCAAUGCUCAAUGACAAUAAAUUUUGUAAGUUGUUACUUUAGAUAAUAAUAAGUUUACAAUUUUGUCUGAACGGACCUAAAAUAUAAAAUGAAAUUUUAGAGUAAUAUAUAUUCAAGAAGGACUAGUGUUCCAAAUUAAAAUAUGGAUUAAAAAAUUAGAACAAAUAAUAAUAUGGUAGGUUGAAAGCUAAGGCUCUAUUUAGCACACGGCUCAACUUCACUAGUGAAGUUGUUUUUUUAGAAAAGAGUUUCAUAAGCAACUUUCUAGGUAAACUGAGCUAUUUUGACAAAGUUGUUUGGCACAAUAGCUUCACCGGCACCUUCAUGCAUGGAUGAAAGAAAAGAAAGAAAUGGAGGAGAGAGCAAGGAUAAACUACUUUUUUAGCUUCAUCUUAACUCAUAUCUUUAUGAGAAGAGAAAAAAAAUAGCUUCACCCAUAAAACUAUUUUGAAAAUAGUGUUUGGCAAAAAAAAAUUACAAUAACUUAUAAAGUUGUUAUAAGCUGUGCCGAAUAGGCUCUAAAUAAAUAUAGAUUCAUGAUGUAGCAACAAGGAUGAAAUAAGAGCUGAUAUUGUUAAGUAGUAACUUUGUCCACAAUUCCUUUUGUUUUUAAACUACUAAAUAAAUAAAUAAUGUAACGAUAGACUAGUCUUGGAUCAAAGUAGUGACGCCAGACUUGAUGAUGGUAGACUGCACUUUCCCUUUUCUUCCUUUUUCCUCUCUCUCUCUAUUUCUCUUGGGCCUUGUUUAGUUUCGAAAAUUUUUGAGAAAUUCACACUGUAGCAUUUUCGUUUGUAUUUGACAAAUAUUGUCCAAUCAUAGACUAACUAGGCUCAAAAGAUUCGUCUCGUCAAUUCCGACCAAACUGUACAAUUAGUUUUUAUUUUCGUCUAUAUUUAAUACUUGAUGCAUGCGUCUAAAAAAUUGAUGUGACGGGAAAUGUGACAAAUUUUAUAAAACAUUUAAGGAACUAAACAAGGCCUUGGGUGGACCUUUUCGCUCUUAUCUAUAUCACUAUAUGCAUGCAGGCAGGCCCAACGCAAUUCACAGCUUUGGGCUUGCAUCGCAAUGCCGCCUUGGUCCUGUCGAGCCCGGCCCAACCACGCGCCCAUCGAUCUGGCCCGUCUCCUGACUCCUGACACCGUGCGAAAUCUCCUGCCCCCGCUGUUCGAGGUCUCCUCGCCAAGUUUCAUCAGGAUCAGGAUUUCAGGGAAAUAAAUAAAUAAACAAUCGGGGUGCCGCGCGCUGCAAAUCAAAGGCAAUUAAUCUCCAUCGACCGAGUUUCUUUCUUCAGAUCAAGCAGAUCGAAAGAGAGAUCUCGUCUCGUGUCGCGGCCGGCGACGAUAACGAUCGAUAUGCAGCAGAGGAAGGGGAUCAGGAGGCCACCAUGACGACGACGGUGGGCGUGGGCGGCGACGGCGAGGCCAGCAAGCCGGCGACGACGCGACGAGGCGGGUGAGGGUGGACCAGGAGACCAUCGACGUCAUGCUCAAGCAGGCGGAGCGGCUCCCGCCUAGCCGGCCUUUCCCUGAACUUCCCGAGUCCAUCGACCGGCUGUGCCCGGGGUCGCGGGAGAAGCUUGCCAGAAUCGCCGCCGUGCUGAAGAGGUCCGACGACCGGGACGCCGACAUCCUCCGCCAGUACCGCGCCAAGGGAUACGCGGAGAUCGACCUGCUGCCGGAGGAGCUCAGCGACGAAGAAGACGAGGUCCUAGAGGAGGACGACGGCAAUUAAUGGCAUUGCCUGCCGCCGUGGAGGAGGUGGAUGGAUCGGAGAUGUCUAGCUAGCUAGCUUAAUUUUUAGGUCAUGCCUUUGUGCGUGCGUCCAAUUAGGGCUCGGUCGUUGCUACCGAGUAUCUAGAUUGCUUGGAUGCAGCAACCAUGAGUUAUAGCACUUAAUUAGCCGCAGGUUACAAUUAUUCAGUAAUCGUCCCUUCACUCUGAUCUGGGUUGUCUGAUGACGGCGCUAUCAAUCAAGAAAUAAUGGAAAUAAUGAAGUCCACUGUAUUUAUUUAUACUUAGCAAACGUACACGCAUGGAUCUCAAGAUAGCAGCUGUGUGUCCGUGGACGGAAUUGGCCUUCACUACUAGCUUGUUUGCAGUAAUAGCUUGCUCGCCUUUGUAUAUAAACUGUAUCUCUUUUCUUCACUUCUCUACGUCUAAUUAAGACUAAAUGAUAGGACCUUUGCCACAGCUUGUCACGGCAAUAAGAUCCUUGUCAUAGCUAUAGGACCCUUAUCACUGCUUCUCACAGCUAUAGCACUCUUAUCACAAUUAUAGGUCCAUUAUCACAGGUAUAAGACCCUUGUCACAGAUACAAAGCCCUUGUCGCAGGGCUGACAUAAAAAAUGGGUUUGACCAUGUCCCUUUGAACCAAACAUAAAAAUGGGUAUGACCCAACUUAUUCUAGUUGGACACUUGUAGUGCUAAAAAUUUGAGGAGCUAUAAUGGGUUCAUCCUAGAGCUUAGAUGUGGGUUUGUUCGAUUUCACCGAGUUGAGCCAUGAGUUGAGCUCGAUGACCAUGGGAGUGGCGCUCUUGCGUGCAACGGCCAUGACGAGCGAGAGCGAGCAGGCCCAACUGAGGGCCACACGUAGCCUUGGUGACCGGCGGUCGACGAGCAGGAGCGACGCGGCGGUGGCCAGCGUGUGGCCUCGACGAGCGCGAGCAGCCCCGGCCGACUGCGGGCCACACGUAGCCUCGGCGACAGUUGUCGAUUCACGACCUCGAUCAGCAAGUGGAAGUGACACACCAUGCAACUCAUAGUAGACGUACGGUCGUGGCCAUCAUGUGCCACCUCGACUGUGGACCUCGUGAGCAUGUAGAGCCGAGCAAGAUGUAUGGGGAAGGAGCGAGAUAGGAGAUGAAGGAGGAAGCAAGAGAUCGAGUUGAGGAUGACAUGCAUGUCUCGCACAUUAGGUAUAUCCUAACCCACCAACUUAACCCUUUAAAUCAAACAUGAAAUGCUGCCUCUGUCUCUCUAUCCGUUCUGUACUGCUGGAGGGGGUGCAAACCCCUACAGUCCCUUUCAAAAAAAAAAAAAAUAAAAAUAAUGGACCUAGCAAGUCCAAGGGAAGCCCCACAAAUUAAAGGAGAACAUCAACUAGGCCCAACACGACUCCACCAAUGCGCCAGCGAGUGCUAUUGCCUACUCAGAGGCGAGGGAAUAUCCACCGGUACGGUGCUUGUGGAUUCCCUUCUCCGCAUGUCGUGAUUCCAUGAAACCGAUCGAUCCGCUCAUGCGGAGUCAGAGACAGCCAGAGCUGGUUGCAUUUGUUUACAUCUACCGCAAAUUAUCGUGUGCUAUAUUUAGUUUUGGCUUAAAAUGUUUAACCACAAGAAUAAUCUUAAACAUUUUUUAAAAUUAUAUAAAUUUAUGGUUCAGGAAAUAAUAGAUUUUCAUGUAAUUCUUUUAUAUAUGUGCUUAGAUGAAAUUCAAAAUUCUUUAACAAAGAACAUGCUAAAGUUUAAGUUUCAAUUCAAAAUUAAUUUUUUAGUCAUUCAAAACAAGCUCUACGAUUUUGAAUUUAAUUCCAGAAUGAAACUUAAUUGAGCAUAUCCAUUAUUAAGAAACUUUGUUUAGAAUCCCUUGUUCCACGUAGCAGUAAUUUGGAGGUCCCUAUGUACUCUGUUUGUUGUAAUCGAUAAGAAAAAACCUAUAAAAUCAAAAUGGUCUAUAGGAAAGGAAGAACGUGUCAUGCUACUUGCUCCUGGCUUCUGAUCCAUUCAUGUUAUUGUUUGGUGUGAAUUUGGCUUUAUAUUGGCCGGUGGGUGUGCGAUACGUCCAUUGACAUUUCAAUUGCCGAUAGGUCUAUCGACACAAUCACAUCUACGUGGAGGUGACGUGGCAAGUAGGGUGAGCAUCUUCAAGGAUUUAACAUUUGUUGUUAUUUGCAAAACUCUCAAAACAAAAUGCAAAGUCUAAAAAUAGGUCAUCUCCAAGGGUUUUGCAUAAUUGACUUCGACAUUUACCCAAAAUGGACCCGGAUGUGAUUUUUUUCCGUGUGGCGCGCGGUCGCGGUUCCUUCCCAUGCGGUCGACUUCUUCGCGCGCUUAGGUACCCGCGCCACGAGUUGUAUUGCCGCCAGUUAUAUCACCAAUCAGGUCGCCGCCAUUUCCUAUGCGGUGGAGUCGGUCGCGACCGGCAGCGAACGCCGGCGCGUGGAGGACCGGUGCUCGCGAUGGAGUCUCUCGCGACUUUGAUCGGCUGCGAACAGCGACGCGUGGAAGGACAGGGGGUUUAUGUCACGAUCGAUGGAGUAUAUAUGGCGCGAAGAAAAGUCUAGAUCGCGCAGGGACCGGGAGACGCGCGCGAUUGGGCUUUUGCCAAGCCGUCCGCGGUUUGGCAACUACGCCAAGUUUGCUCUCUCAUUUACCAAGUUGCCCCAAAUGCAAACUGCAAAUGCAAAACCGUUGGAUACUUCAUUUUGCGAUUUUUGACAAAUUACAAAAAUGCAAACCCUAAAUGCAAAACCGUUGAAGAUGCUCGGUUGUUGGAUAGUUGAUAGGUACCUAUACCUAUUGGCUAUUGGGUUCCCAUUAGUCCUUUUAUAGCCAUACAAUUGCUAAAAAGUUCUAUAUUUGUAUAUCUUCCUGCUAAUAACUCUUAGUCUUGCAAUUGUUUAUAAAAAUGAUAUAAUCUUUUUAAAAAUUCUAGUUUGCGUAAUUGAAAGGCAUGAUAUCCAUUCAAUACAACAUGUCACCAAAGGUUUGACUUGCUUCCAAAUCAAGCCUAGGGCUAAGGACUCGUUUACAUCUAAAACAUUUUUCAUAGCAUUUCCUUUUGUAUUUGACAAUUAUGGUCCAACCAUAAACCAAUUGGACUUAAAAUAUUCGUUUCGCAAAUUACAGGUAAACUAUGUAAUUAGUUAUUUUUUAUCUAUAUUUAAUGUUUUAUGCAUGUGCCACAAGAUUCUUGUGACGGGAAGUCUUGAAAAGUUUUUUUUUAGAGUGGCCUAAGGAGUUACUCUCUCUGUCCAUGAAAAAAUUAAUUCCUAGAAUCCGUGCCAGUCAAACUUUUUAAAGUUUGACUAACUUUAUAGAAAAGAGUAAUAACAUCUAUGACAUAAAAUGCGCAUCUUAUGAAAAUAUAUUCUAUGAUAAAUUUAAUGAUACUAAUUUGAUAUCAUGUAAGUCUUAGUAUUUUUUUUCUAAAAGUUUAGUUAAAGUUUAAAAAUUUUGAUUUAAGAUAACUCUAGAAAUUGAUUUUUUUCAUGAACGGAUGGGAGUAACAAGAUUUGGCUUUCUCAUUGGAUAUUUUUUUCAACACGGAAGCAUGUUUGUUGGACAGACUCAUUCGUGGGAAGAAGUCAUUUUCUUGUUAUGGUAGCACACUUUAGUCGGAAUCGAUCGCGCGACAUGUAAAAUAAGGAAGAAAAACGAAAGUCCACAUCCGUCCAUAUCCAUCCCAUGACAUCACAGGAAGUCAUAAUCACACGGCACAUAUAGCCAAUAGGAAACACCGUAGAAUACAGUGCCAGCUGAAUAGGAUAUAUGGAAAAAUAAGCCUACUACAACAAAACCAGAGGGUACGCACAAUCGCUAAUAAGAAAUUUCAGGAACAAAAGAAAUUAUUCUCUAUACUUAUGCACUAAUUUUAAGAUCGAUCAAACUUACUCCUAAGACGAAUCGAAUCUAUUAGACAAAAAAAAAUGCUUAAAAUUAUCAAAAGUAUCCGAAAGAAGCUGACCAAAGUGCCUAGUUCUUUUAGCAUCGCGCUUGCACCACCACACCACCACUGUAGGCCUAGAUCCUCUAAAAACUAAAAACUUUUUAAAAUUCUUCGUCACAUCAAAUUUUACCGCGCAUAUAUGGAGUAUUAAAUAUAGAUAAAAGUAAAAACUAACUGCAUAAUUUACCUGUAAUUUGUGAGACGAAUCUUUUAACCUAUUUAGUCUAUGAUUGAACAAUAAUUGCUAAAUAUAAACAAAAAAGCCACAAUAACCUAAAAACUUUUGGAAGGGAAAUAAACAAGACCUAGGUUGUAACAUCCAUAGAAUAUGGCGACAAGAACACAAAGGAGUGCUUAUGUAGCAGCAUUCCAUGCUAUGAAUUAAAAAAAAUAUCUAUUGAUGACUUCCUACCUGCACACAAUAUAUAGCACGACAAAAAAAAAUUAGUGUUCCCCAACAAAUCAGUUUUUUUUGUGUGUGUGACUCCCAACAAAAUUCAGCUGGCACAACCGCAUGAGUCUGUGAGGAAGAUGAAAUUAAGGCCCUCUUUCCGCAUCGAAUCUUUAGGCAUAUGCAUGGAGCAUUAAAUAUAAACGAAAACAAAAACUAAUUAUAAAAUUUGUUUGUAAUUUUGUGAGAUGAUUCAAUAUUUAUCAUAUACAAACGAUCUAAAUAUUUUUGAACUAAACAAUGAAAACGACCGCAGGAUAUUCCGCCAGGGGACACUGACACGCGGGCCCAACCCAAACGAAUCCCACCACCUUUUUUUUACCGUCCUCCGGUCGCCGGAUGCCCGGAUCCAAGCUCCGAUCCGAUUCCGAUCCGACCGACCUGACCGGACCAGACCAGACCAGACCAGAUCCUGACGACGAGCCGCACCCCCUCACUGGGACUGGCUCACUCGGCUCCGGUCCGGCCUCCUCUCCUCCCCAUCAUCACCAUUCAGGCAGACCAACAGUCACAGGCGCCUUUCCUUCUUCUUCUUCUUCAGGCCCAGCACGCGCACCGGCACGCUCCCCAUCCCCUCCCCUCCCCCCUACCCUUUCCGUUUCCAGCCCCACUCCCGUCCCGACGACGAUCCCAGCGCCCCACGCCCCGCCGCCGCCGCGUACGCUGCGGAGGAGCUCGGGCCGCAAUGCCCGCGCCCCCGGACCCGCCGCCGCUCCCCGCGCCGGCUCCGGACCCGGACCCGUCGGAUCCCGCCGCCGCGCCGGCCCCCGCCGCCGCCGAUGAGGAGGAGGACGACGACCGCGUCUUCCUCGUGCCCCUCAGGUGAGCGCACAGCACCGCUAACCCUAGCCCGCCCGAUCCUGGGUGGCGCGCCGGCAGGAGCGGGCGUUUCUGACGAGAUGGCGAUGUGUGGCCGGAUGGGGGGGCGCAGGUGGUGGAAGGAGGCGCAGGAGGGAUCGGCGAUCGAGGCGCCCGGGCUACCCUACACGGCCACGCCGGCUGGACCUGCCUCCUACGGCAUGAGGGUGCUGAGCAUGUUCCUCUCCGACCAGACAUACACCCUCCGCCGCGCCGACGAGCUCCUCGAGCAGACCGCCUCCGCUUCCGCCAGGAGCUACGCGCUCCUCCCGGCCGACCUCUUCGCCAAGGCGCGGGACUGGUGAGAUACCCCGCCUCUCCCUGUUUUUUUUUCUGCUGUUUCUUAUCACUCUUCUUGUUCAGUUCAUCAUUCUCGCUUCCCUGGAAUGGUUGUAUGAUAGGAUUGCCUUGAAUACCCCGCGAGAUUUAUUUUGGAUCACCUGUUUGAGUGGGUGUAGUAGCCAGAAAUGCUUUAGGAUGAUCAGCUCGUACUGACUUACAUGCCUAAUGAUGCAUAAUGAUGGCCUAGGCCACUUUAGGUAGCCAGCCACCUGCAAUUCUGCGCGCCGUGAUUGUAAUCCUGCUAUGCGAUUUCGUACAUCGAAUAUGGCGGUCCUAUGUUUUUUGAAGCGUAAGACUUGCUGCUGGAAGCGAGUGAGGUGGACAAUUUAGGGUAACUGUUCAUUUCACGGCGCUGGCUGCCGAUGAUUGAUUGAUGUGCAUGUUGUUCGCGCGCCAUUGAGCUGUUUUCCGGUAGGACGGAUGUCAAUCCCUAUGUUCUAGGGUUCGGUUUUUUCCAACAUUCUAGUAAAGGUUGUAUUUAAUGAGUUACCAUAAGGAGACCACAGUGCAAUGCUGGAACCCCUUUUCCUUUGCUGAGCUGUGCAAUAAAGCGUUGGUUCUUUCCGCACGUGUCAGGACUUAGAACGCUGAUGUGAUCAAUGCAAAUACAGCUUCUUUUGUGGAGACUCUCCAUGAACCUUGUGGUGGAUUAAUAGCCUGUAGUUGCUCCAAAGUUUAGAUUGCCUUGAAGCAGUGCAUCAAAGGCUCAAACAACUCAGAGCAAGAAAUCUGGUGUUGCAUUUGGGGCAUUCAUCAGGAUGGAUGGCUGCUGAGUGCAAGAAAUCUUGUGCUACCUCUGGAAAUGUUUUGAAGUCUAGAACCAUUGAUACAUAUCUUUCAGACUGGGACAGACCCUUUCGAUAUUAAUGACAUCUUAUUAAUGCAGUGUUGCAUUGUAUAGUUAACUUAAGGCUAGCAGUCUUUUAAUUAAAUUAUAUAUGCUCGGCUGCCUGAUUUUAUUUCUCAUUUAUUUCUUUUAUUUACAAGAUGAUUCGACUGUUUUCUUUCUUCCAAUAUAACUUAUCCUACUUUUUUUUCUUAUAGGUAUAUUGAUUCUGCCAAAUCUGCUGGCAAAAAUGUGUCACCUGCUGGUGACUCAGUAAAUAUUUACCCCAUAAUGCUAAGAGUUUCAGCCACCAGAGGUACAUAUACACUAACAGUGAAGAUUGGCAAAAAGGUACAUACAAAGUACUUGCAUUCCGCUUGAUUCUUGUAGUUUGGAAGAGUUCUUUUGUUUAAGAAAGUUUGUUUACUUAAGGAUAUUAAUUGGUCUCUUUCUAAGGAUGAUAUUCUUCAGUAAUAAGUAUAUCUUAACUUUGUGUUUUUCCCCUCCUUUUUAUACACUCAGGACAACUCAACUGAGAACUUUAAGAGAGCAAACAAGAUUCUGACUGCAGACUCUGAGCCGGUAUUCUUCUGACAAUCCUUUUGCCCACUUACUAGUGAUGGUAUAGUUAUUUUUCUUGUAUUGCAUGUUUGUAGGUUCACAUAUGGGAUUUCUCUGGGCGGACAACAUACAUAGUUAUGAAUGAAUUGAACCGGUCGCCCCAUGACUCAAAAUCUGCAGAUCAGGAGGUAUCUUCACCAUCUAGUGUUCCAUCUUAUCUCAUAUUGUUAUGAUUUUAGUGGGAUUGUAUUGUUCUGGUAUCUACUUUGGCCUUUUUUGUUGCAUAAAAUGUCAAUGCUGAUUUUUUUUUUCUAAUUCUUUAGUUUAGUUCUGCUUACCACGCACUGCAGAAUGUUUAGUUUGUCAAGGUUCUUAUCUUCUUUCCUGAAGUAGGUGCAAUUAAUCUGUACUAAGUUAGUGCAUCUAUUAUUCAUAUUGUCAAAAUCUCCUUUUUUUGAAUUGAACUCUUUUCCAUUGGAUUGUUUGGCUCAUAUACUGAGCAUCGAUAAACACCAAGUCACUUCAAUUUCUCUCGUAAUCCUAGAGCUUUCUUCAUGUCCUUGUAAAGUUCCAUGAACAAUGGAUGCAUGUUCUAAAGUCCAAGGAAAGGUCCACCAUACUUUAAAGAAAAGGUGCAUUCAACUCAUUAUGCAUUUCCUUUCUGAGGUAUCUUUGUCCAGCUAAUUAACUUUAUGUUCCCAUUACAAAUUUCUUAUUACAGAUAUUGAAAGCUGCACAUUUCUUUUGACUUACUAACAGUUCCUUUAGAAGUUGAAAGUUAUUUAAGAAAAUAUAUUGUUAUAUGAUUCCUGAUCAAACUAGGAAGUUUGGAUGACUAGCGCAUGAGUUAUAUUUGUUGGAAAACGUAUAUUGUUCUCUUAUUUGGAGCUUUGAUGUUAGUUGUCAAGUGUCAGGGCUAUAGAUGACUUGGUUUCUGCUAUCUUAUUCGGAGUGACUUGGCUCAGUGAUUAUCCUGAUACUUUUUCCCUCUUGUUUUUUUUUUAGAUUAGAUUAUCUAGCUUGCACUUCUUCAAACUUAGCUUUUGAACAGUCUUCUCUUGUGAUUGUAUCUUCUCAUAUAUGUUGCUUACACUUUUGUAGUAUAUGUUGUUUACAAUUUUGUAGUAUAUGUUGUUUACACUUUACUAAACAUUUUCAGAUGUUGUUUACACUUUACUUCAUAUUUUCAGAUGCCUCUACAAAUACACAUUUAUGAUUUGUCAGAACCUAUGGUUAAUGGUUCUGAUGGGAAAAGAGAUGAGUUAGCAUUAACAUUGGGUGGCUCAAGUUUUAGCAAUGGUGGUACUAUGAACAUGGAUGUGGAUUCAUCAAGUGGAAGCUCUAAGCAAGUUGGAUCUGGUCUAACAGGAUUAGACAAUCUGGGAAACACAUGUUUCAUGAACAGUGCAGUCCAGUGCUUGGCUCAUACUUCAAAGCUGGUUGAUUAUUUCCUUGGUGAUUUCCAUAAAGAAAUAAACCCACAUAACCCACUGGGGAUGAAGGUAUGUCAAAAUGUUUUUUUAUAGUUAAUGUAGUGUAUUUGUACGUGAAAUUUAUAUUACUUUUAUUUCUUUAAUUCAUUUGCAAAAUGUUUCUUAAACAGGGCGAACUUGCAUGCGCAUUCGGUGAUUUGUUGAGGAAGCUAUGGGCUAUUGAUAGAACCCCCGUUGCACCUCGCCAAUUCAAGUCCAGACUUGGACGCUUUGCUCCCCAAUUCAGUGGCUUUAACCAACAUGAUUCACAGGUUAGUUUGCUUUUUAUUUUUGGAAACACCACACACACGCCAUGGUGGUGGUGGGUGUGGGUUAUCCCUAGCUCUCGCUGCCCUGUCCCGCUCUCGCUGUCCUGUCACACACUCUCCGUUCUCACCGCUUGGUGUUGUUGGUGGUGCUAGACUGCAGGUGGAGGAACCGGGGAAGGGGGCAAACAAUGGGCGCGUGGGGAUUUCAUUUCCAUUUUAUAUAUGUAAAAUAAUAAUAAAAAAUAAAUGCAACCUCAAUUUGCUCGGAUAAUUGACACACACCACAAAACACACACACACACACACACACACACUUGGUUUUGGUGAGUGUGGGUUAUCCCUAGCUCUCGCUGCCCCCGUCCGCUCUUGCUGUUAGUGUCACGCGCUCUCGCCGCUUGGUGUUGUUGUUGGUGCUAGACUGUGCAGGUGGGGGAAGGGGGCAAACGAGGGGCGCAUGGGGAUUUCAUUUCCAUUUUAUGUAUGUAAAAUAAUAAUAAAAAAAUAAAUGCAACCUCACUUUGCUCGGAUGGUGGUGGUGGUGGGUGUGGGUUAUCUCUAACUCUCGCUGCCCCUGUCAUGUUCUCGCUGUUAGUGUCACGUGCUCUCUGCUUGGUGUUGUCACACACACACACACACACACACACACACACACACACACACACACACACACACCAUGAUGGUGGUGGUUGUGGGUUAUCCCUAGCUCUCGCUGCCCUGUCUUGCUCUCGCUGUCUGUCACAUGCUCUCCGCUCUCACCGCUUGGUGUUGUUGGUGGUGCUAGACUGUGCAAGUGGUGGAACCGGGGAAGGGGGCAAACAAUGGGCGUGGGGAUUUCAUUUCCAUUUUAUAUAUGUAAAAUAAAAAAAUAAAAUAAAUGCAACCUCAAUUUGCUCAAAUAAUAGACACACACCACAACACACACACACUUGGUGUUGGUGAGUGUGGGUUAUCCCUAGCUCUCGCUGCCCCUGUCCUGCUCUCGCUGUUAGUGUCACGUGCUCUCCACUUGGUGUUGUCACACACACACAGUGGGUGUGGGUUAUCCCUAGCUCUCGCUGCCCCCAUCCCGCUCUUGCUGUUGGUGUCACACGCUCUCCACUCUCGCUGCUUGGUGUUGUUGGUGGUGCUAGACUGUGCAGUUGAGGGAAGGGGCAAACGAUGGGCGCGUGAGGAUUUCAUUUCCAUUUUAUAUAUGUAAAAUAAUAAUAAUAAAUAAGUGCGACUUCACUUUGUUCGGAUAACAGACACACACCACAAUGCGCGCGCGCGCACACACACACAUGGUGUUGGUGAGUGUGGUUAUCCCUAGCUCUCGCUGCCCCUGUCCCGCUCUUGCUGUUAGUGUCACGCGCUCUCCGCUCUCGCCGCUUGGUGUUGUUGAUGGUGCUAGACUGCAGGUGGGGGAAGGGGGCAAACGAUGGGAGCGUGGGGAUUUCAUUUCCAUUUUAUAUAUGUAAAAUAAUAAAAAAAAUAAAUGCAACGUCACUUUGCUCGGAUCACACACACACACACCAUGGUCGUGGUGAACCCUAGCUCUCGCUGCCCCCGCUGCAUGGAUAACACACAGAGGGAGGGAGCACUUGAUCUUACAUUCGUACUAAUACCAGCUUUGCUUUGGGAUUAUUUAGUUCGCUUUGGGAUUAUGUAGCCUGAACUAAAUUAUGUGGUGACUUAUUGUGUUUCAGGGGGGGGGGGGCUUAUGCCAAUGAAGUGUUUCUCACACAAGUUUUCUGUGUUAUACGUAGGAGCUUCUUGCUUUCCUAUUGGAUGGACUCCAUGAAGAUUUGAACCGUGUGAAAUGUAAACCAUAUUCUGAAGCAAAGGAUUCAGAUGGCCGUCCGGAUGAAGAGGUCGCAGAUGAGUACUGGGGCAAUCAUUUAGCCCGAAACGAUUCUAUCAUAGUUGAUAUCUGCCAGGUUAGUUUUGAAUGAGUGUAGGGCCUCUAUUUUCAAGCACAUUCUUCUGUAACGAUUGUCGUCUCCUUUCUAUAUCUUAUAUUAACUGUUGAGUAUCAGUACUUUCCCUUCUUUUCCUGGUAUAUUAUAUUACCUCUAUAUUUAUGCAAACAGCUUUACAAAUCCUGGUAUUUGCAUUAGGGCUGCCAGAGAGAAAUUAUGGGAUAAUGAUUAGGGCCUGUUGACUAUUAUUAUACAGCUGUACAUGGAUUCUUGAAUCAUCCAUAUCUACUGUGAGCUUUUUACCUGUAUGCCAUUAUGAAAGAUUGACCAAACCACCAUGCCACUAAAAAGUUGUUUCGCACCGCUGUGCCCAACUUCAUCUUCGGCUAUACCUGUGUGCCAUUCCGUUCAUUUUGAUGCCUAACGGCAGUUAAGUGGCCUGGCAAUAGACUUGAAUACCCCUAGGCUGUGUCAGUUCAACUACCACCAACCUUGUGCUUCCCUUCAAUUCAAUUCACCCCUCGCUCGCUGCAUCCUCUGCUUCCCUUCUUCUUUGCCAGAGCACCUUCGUGGUGUUCCUGCUGCUCGGCAUUGGCGUCCGCCGGCCGUGCGGCUAACGAGGUCGUGAGCUUCGUGGUGUUCCUGCUGCUGGACGCGCUGUUGUGCCUUGGUGGUGCUGCUGUGCGUUUCCCUGCUGCUGUAACUCCUCUACCCGCCGCUGCUGUGAGAUCCGGUUGUGGUUGGCGACUUGGGCCUCUCCGUGCCGUUCACCAGGAACGGUGACCAGAACACCGACACCGUGGCGUUGUGUGACGGGAACGCCCAACGCCUGAACUUGCGGAGCUCGUCGCCAUCGCCGCCGGCGCCACGCACCAGCUGCGCCGGGAACGCGGAGGUGAGCAGGCACACCAGGGACUCGCACUGGUUCCGCGCGAGCGAGUCGCCCACGAAGGCCACGUGGCGACCGCGCACCCACGCCAGCGGAACCUCUUCUUCGACGCCGCCGCGCGCACGCUCGCCGCCGCCACCGCUGCGCUCCGCGUCCGCCUCUACGACAGGCCCGGCGACCGCAACCCCUUGCGUGCCGUCCUCGCCCUCAAGCGCCGCCCGUGGAUCGACGCUGGCGUCAACCGCGUCGAGGAGAUCGAGGAGCCGCUCGACCCCGCGCUCGACCUCGCCUGCGCCGACGACCCCGCGCUCGCCCUCGCCUGCGCCGACGACGGACGCGGCAAAGCCAGCGCUCCCGGCCUUCCUCACGGCCGCCGCGGCGGAACCGGACCACCCGUGCACCGCGCUCGUGGUGGCCGGCGGCGGUGACCACGCGCCCAAUCCAGCUGAACCUGAGCCGACCGCUGUCGAGCUUCACCCGGUCGGGGCCCUCCCGCGCCACGGCGUUGGCCGCCUUGUUCGCCAGGGCCGCCUCGGCUCGGGCCCUCUGCGCGCUGUCGCGGGCCAAGGUCGCGUCCAGCGACUCCAGCACCGCGCCGAGUGCGCGCACGCGUCGGCGAACUGCGCCGUCAGAGGCGCUUGGCGUUGAACUCCAGCCCUGCCUGCUGGGCGCACCUCUUGAGAAGGGCAAAAAGGACAUUAUGCUAGCUGGGACCCACGUGUUAGACCUCUUAGACGGAAGAAAACGAACAGAACGUGGACGGAAUGGCACACAGGUAUAGCCGAAGAUGAAGUUGGGCACAGCGGUGCGAAACAACUUUUUAGUGGCAUGGUGGUUUGGUCAAUCUUUCAUAAUGGCAUACAGGUAAAAAGCUCAUCUACUGUACCAGUGUGCUGAAUAGAUAUGUAUGUGAUCUUGGCAAGGAGCCUGUGAUAAUUAACUUUUCAAGUUUCAGCACAAUUAACGGUGCAAGAUCAUAAAAAAAGUUUAAAUAUGCUAACAGUUUAUUGCAGCCACUCCGUAUGCCCAUAGUUGGAUGAAAAUUCUACAUUUCCCCCUCCAGUAACAUAAUUGUUAACAUUCAAUGUAACCAAAAUUCUCACUACACUGGCUAAUUAAUAUACCUUUUCAUUAAACUAUGCUAAUUUCCUCUUACUGGACAGUCCAAUGUAAUAAUUCCAACCUCUCAUUUUAUCAACCUUGAUCCUAAACAAACAGGAGUUUAUGAGCCCUUGGGUUAGAAUAUAUUGAGUUAACACAUGCCUCAGACUUCUUGUUUUUUUACAAGAACAUCUCCUGGUCCAUUUAGUUGGUUGAUGACAUUUAAUACAUCUAUAUCCGCUAUUCUGGUGGAGAGACAGGAUAUGUGCUGGACAAAAGUAUAUCCCCUUUUCACUCUAUGCAAUUUAUGUGCCAGCUCUAAGAUAUGUUAUGCCCACUAUUUGUGUAUACGUUACAAAUGUGCAUAUUGGUACGGUUGCCUAUUGUGUACUUCAAUUUACAUGCUUAUCUUCUAUGGACUAUUGAUUAUCUUUGGUGUUUCGAUGCAGGGUCAGUACAAGUCAACAUUAGUUUGCCCCAUCUGCAAGAAAGUUUCUGUAACAUUUGACCCGUUCAUGUAUUUGUCUUUGCCCCUGCCUACAACAACAAUGAGAACAAUGACCAUAACAGUCUUCAGCACUGAUGGGACCAGUGGGCCAUCUCCUUACACUAUUAGUGUACCAAAAUCUGGAGAUACAAGGACCCUUAUUAAUACGUUAAGCAAUGCUUGUUCGUUGAGAGAUGAUGAGCGCCUCCUAGUUGCCGAGGUAUUCAUUAUUCCUUCAGAAUCAUUAUUUCAAAAGCUGCUAAGCAUGCGCUUCAUAUUUCCUUAUUGUUUGGUGAUCACGAUCUAGGUCUACAACAAUUCCCUUAUUCGGUACUUGGACGAACCUUCUGAAGUCAUCUCCUUGAUCAGAGAUGGAGAUCGUUUGGUUGCAUAUCGGCUUCCUAAAGACAAUGAAGAUGCUCCUAUUGUGGUGUUCAGAAACCAGCGUAUGGAGUAAGUACAAUCAUUCUGUACGAUGUGUUAUUGUGUUGUUUAGAUAUCAAUCAAAUCUAUAAUGGUUGAAAGUUGAAACCGAAUGCAGAUAAAGACGUUCAUUAUUAAUUUCCACUUUUGUGGUCAAGAGAAAAAAAAAUACAUUGAGAAAUCUCCUUACGACAAAAUCAUCAUCUUUCAUGUGCAGGUCGUCCCUUGCCAAUUUUGGGCGGAAGUCAUGGAAGACUUUUGGCACUCCGCUUGUGUCAAGUCUUCCUGAUACCAUAACUGGAAGUACUAUUUGCAAUCUUUUCCUAAAGGUUAUGACUCCAUUCAGAGUAUCAAGAGAUGAUGUUCCCGCUGCUGUUAAAACAGUUGGCGAAAGCAGUCUGGUUGAUGAAAUUGCAGAUAGCAAUAUGAGCGCUGAUGCCUCAGAGCCCACCACUAUAAAUAACAAUUCUGUCGAGGAUGAAACAGGGACUGAAGAUGUGAUGCAAUUUUUCCUGACUAAUGAGAGAUUCCCAGACCAACGCAUGAAGAUAGAAAUGGAUCUAUCCAUUACGGUGAAAGAUCCACAUAAGCGUCUGCAUGUGGCUGUGUGUUGGGAGGACAAUGGACUGGAUCAAUAUGAUCUUGAUUCUUUGGAUUCUCUUCCAGAAGUUUACAAAGCAGUACUAUUUUCUAGGAGGCCACAGGACACAUGUUCUCUAUAUGCAUGUCUGGAAGCUUUUAUUAAGGAAGAACCAUUAGGCCCAGAAGACAUGUGGUAAUUUUCUUUCAUCAUAAGGAGCAUUUUAUAUCAUAGUGUUUUUACAUUCUCUUGUGUAAGCUCUAUAAGCACUGUACAAGGUAGAUUAUUAUGUUGGAACAAUGGUUAUUUUAAAGAGUAGAAAUAAUGUAGUUGUACUGAAUGGCGAAACUGGCGCGCAAGCACGCGCACAAGCACAAGCACACACACAUCCCUCUUCAAUUGUUUGUUAGUUUGUUCUCCUUCUAUUAUACACGCACACGCACACACGCAUGCACACAAGCACACACACAUUCCUCUUCAAUUGUUAGUUUGUUCUCCCUCUAUUAUGCAGGUACUGCCCAGGUUGUAAAGAGCAUCAACAAGCUAGUAAGAAGUUAGACCUUUGGAGAUUACCUGAAAUCCUUAUAAUACACCUGAAAAGAUUUUCGUACAGUCGGUACACCAAAAACAAAUUGGAGACAUUUGUGGACUUCCCGAUUCAUGAUCUUGACCUGUCAAAGUAUAUCGGUCACAGAUGCCAAGAUGUUCCUCACAAUUAUCGACUGUAUGCUAUUAGCAACCACUAUGGAAGCUUGGGUGGUGGUCACUAUACAGCUUAUGUUUAUGUGAGUUCUCUUCAUCCUCUACAGGGCCUUUUGGGUACAUCUGUUUUCUAUAUCAUUGGCAAUUGGCAAGAUCACGUAUUUGUUCCACGUUUUGGGGCUGUAAGGUUUAUGUGCUUACAAUGUGUUUUUUUGGUGCAGCAUGAAGGAAAAAAGGGGUGGUAUGAUUUCGAUGACCGUCAUGUGGGUCCUAUAACCGAGGACAGUAUAAAGACAUCGGCGGCUUAUGUUCUUUUUUACCGGCGGAUACAGGAGGAUAGCUUAGAUACAGGUACACACAUAGAUUCU
rnacentral:lncRNA from 1 species